AAAAAAAAGUAUUUCUCCGCCACAGUUUUGUUAUUUAAAACAGUUUUCCAAUUGAUUUGUCUUCAUGUGACGCCAGAGGCCGCGACUGUGGCGCAAUGUACAUUAAACUAAGAUGAUAUACUCGGUACCUAACCUAAGCUAUAGAACUACAUAUGAACCUAGAGUUAACGUAAUUAUAUGAUACAAUGCGAAAUAUAUAAAUAAUAAUACGA